AAGACUAUACUUUCAGGGAUCAUUUCUAUAGUUUCUGACUUAAGAAAUGUGUUUCUAAAGUGUGUGGUCUCGCUAACCACGAUGAAGAGUUGGUGGUACUCUCUUCUGAGCGCGAAGCGGGCAGAGAGACUUGAUUCAGUUCAUAUCCUCUCUGCUUUUGAUGAUCGUUCACUGUCUCCUUUGGGGACAUUGAGGAAGAGAGUAUGAUCAGAGUGGUA
ensembl:snoRNA